rnacentral:rRNA from 1 species
CUUCUGGAUGAGUUGCGAACGGGGGAGUAACGCGUAGGUGACCUGCCUGGUAGCGGGGGGAUAACUAUUGGAAACGAUAGCUAAUACCGCAUAACAGUAGAUAUCGCAUGAUAUUUGCUUGAAAGGUGCAAUUGCGCCACUACCAGAUGGACCUGCGUUGUAUUAGCUAGUUGGUGAGGUAACGGCUCACCAAGGCGACGAUACAUAGCCGACCUGAGAGGGUGAUCGGCCACACUGGGACUGAGACACGGCCCACACUCCUACGGGAGGCAGCAGUAGGGAAUCUUCGGCAAUGGACGGAAGUCUGACCGAGCAACGCCGCGUGAGUGAAGAAGGUUUUCGGAUCGUAAAGCUCUGUUGUAAGAGAAGAACGAGUGUGAGAGUGGAAAGUUCACACUGUGACGGUAUCUUACCAGAAAGGGACGGCUAACUACGUGCCAGCAGCCGCGGUAAUACGUAGGUCCCGAGCGUUGUCCGGAUUUAUUGGGCGUAAAGCGAGCGCAGGCGGUUAGAUAAGUCUGAAGUUAAAGGCUGUGGCUUAACCAUAGUACGCUUUGGAAACUGUUUAACUUGAGUGCGAGAGGGGAGAGUGGAAUUCCAUGUGUAGCGGUGAAAUGCGUAGAUAUAUGGAGGAACACCGGUGGCGAAAGCGGCUCUCUGGCUUGUAACUGACGCUGAGGCUCGAAAGCGUGGGGAGCAAACAGGAUUAGAUACCCUGGUAGUCCACGCCGUAAACGAUGAGUGCUAGGUGUUAGACCCUUUCCGGGGUUUAGUGCCGUAGCUAACGCAUUAAGCACUCCGCCUGGGGAGUACGACCGCAAGGUUGAAACUCAAAGGAAUUGACGG